UACGUAGGGGGCAAACGUUGUCCGGAUUUAUUGGGCGUAAAGAGCGUGUAGGCGGCUUCACAGGUCCGCUGUGAAAACUCGAGGCUCAACCUCGAGCUGUCGGUGGAAACCGUGUGGCUAGAGUCCGGAAGAGGAGAGUGGAAUUCCCGGUGUAGCGGUGAAAUGCGCAGAUAUCGGGAAGAACACCCGUGGCGAAGGCGGCUCUCUGGGACGGUACUGACGCUGAGACGCGAAAGCGUGGGGAGCGAACAGG
rnacentral:rRNA from 1 species